UACAUAGACCUCGAGCGUUAUCCGGAUUUACUGGGCGUAAAGCGUGCGUAGGUGUCUUUCUAAGUCUUCGGUGAAAUCUCCGGGCCCAACUCGGAAACUGUCGAAGAUACUGGGAAGAUUGAGUACGACAGAGGCAGACGGAAUGCUUGGUGUAGCGGUAAAAUGCGUAGAUAUCAAGCAGAACACCGAUGGCGAAGGCAGUCUGCUGGGUCGUCACUGACACUGAGGUACGAAAGCGUGGGUAGCGAACGGG
rnacentral:rRNA from 1 species